AGCGAACGCUGGCGGCAGGCCUAACACAUGCAAGUCGAGCGGCCGUAGCAAUACGGCAGCGGCAGACGGGAGAGUAACACGUGGGAACGCGCCCUUCGGUUCGGGAUAACUCAGGGAAACUUGGGCUAAUACCGGAUACGCCCUUACGGGGAAGGAUUUAUUGCCGAAGGAACGGCCCGCGUCCGAUUAGCUUGUUGGUGAGGUAACGGCUCACCAAGGCGACGAUCGGUAGCUGGUCUGAGAGGAUGACCAGCCUCACUGGGACUGAGACACGGCCCAGACUCCUACGGGAGGCAGCAGUGGGGAAUAUUGGACAAUGGGCGCAAGCCUGAUCCAGCCAUGCCGCGUGGGUGAUGAAGGCCCUAGGGUUGUAAAGCCCUUUCAGCGGGGAAGAUAAUGACGGUACCCGCAGAAGAAGCCCCGGCUAACUUCGUGCCAGCAGCCGCGGUAACAC
rnacentral:rRNA from 1 species